GAAAUGCGAUAAGUAAUGUGAAUUGCAGAAUUCAGUGAAUCAUCGAAUCUUUGAACGCACAUUGCGCCCGCCAGAAUUCUGGCGGGCAUGCCUGUUCGAGCGUCAUUUCAACCCUCGGUCUCCCUCCGGGAGAGACCGGCGUUGGGGACCGGCACUUACCCCGCCGGCCCCGAAAUGAAGUGGCGGCCCGUCCGCGGCGACCUCUGCGUAGUAACUCCACUCGCACCGGGACCCGGGCGCGGCCACGCCGUAAAACCCCCAACUUCCGAAUGUUGACCUCGAAUCAGGUAGGAAUACCCGCUGAACUUAA
rnacentral:misc_RNA from 1 species